rnacentral:rRNA from 1 species
UCUUUCGGUUCCGGGGGAAGUAUGGUUGCAAAGCUGAAACUUAAAGGAAUUGACGGAAGGGCACCACCAGGAGUGGAGCUUGCGGCUUAAUUUGACUCAACACGGGAAACCUCACCCGGCCAGCACAUCGUAAGGAUUGACAGACCGAUAGCUCUUUCAUGAUUCGGUGGAUGGUGGUGCAUGGCCGUUCUUAGUUCGUGCUAACGAAGUGUCUGCUUUAUUGCGAUAACGAGCGAGACGCCGACUGCUAACUAGUGCGUCGAUGGAUUCGUUUGUCGACGAUCGCUUCUUAGCGGGAUUCGUGGUUCUUAGCCGCAAGAAAUGGCGCAAUAACAGGUCUGUGAUGCCCUUAGAUGUUCGGGGCCGCACGCGUGCUACAAUGGUGGUAUCAGCGUGAUUGUCCUACGCCGAGAGGCGAUGGCAAACAGUUGAGAUAUUAUUAUGGCUGGAAUUGAGUGUUGAAAUUUUCACUCA